GGGGGUGUACUGGAUUCGACGGGAUGAGUACAAUCGCAGGUUGCAUGCCGAGAGUGUCCAAUGGAUCUCGUAAUAAUAUCCAUUAUGGAAUUAAUAUAAUUGACAACAAUUAUUCAUACCGCCUAGCAGCGUAAGCUGACUAAGCCGUUCCCUUGGUUAUCGUGCCUAUCAGUGCCAAGCUGAACGCCAUAAAAGAUAGGAUAGCGUAACACGGUUUUCUGUCUUUGUUGCGUAAAAUUUCACAGAAUAGUAUGAAGUCGCUUUGUUGUUGGGCUAGGCUUCAUGCGAAAUUUAAUCAGCAACUAAGCAUGUAGAUGUUUGCAGGUUUGCCGUUUCGGACCGGGGUUCGACUCCCCGCACCUCCACCA
rnacentral:tmRNA from 1 species